rnacentral:rRNA from 1 species
AUUGAACGCUGGCGGCAUGCCUUACACAUGCAAGUCGAACGGUAACAGGUCUUCGGAUGCUGACGAGUGGCGAACGGGUGAGUAAUACAUCGGAACGUGCCCGAUCGUGGGGGAUAGCGAGGCGAAAGCUUUGCUAAUACCGCAUACGAUCUACGGAUGAAAGCGGGGGAUCUUCGGACCUCGCGCGGACGGAGCGGCCGAUGGCAGAUUAGGUAGUUGGUGGGAUAAAAGCUUACCAAGCCGACGAUCUGUAGCUGGUCUGAGAGGAUGAUCAGCCACACUGGGACUGAGACACGGCCCAGACUCCUACGGGAGGCAGCAGUGGGGAAUUUUGGACAAUGGGCGAAAGCCUGAUCCAGCCAUGCCGCGUGCAGGAUGAAGGCCUUUGGGUUGUAAACUGCUUUUGUACGGAACGAAAAGCCUCUUUCUAAUAAAGAGGGGUCAUGACGGUACCGUAAGAAUAAGCACCGGCUAACUACGUG